ensembl:snRNA U2 U2 spliceosomal RNA
AUGGCUUCUUGACCUUUUGGCUAAGAUCCAGUGUAGUAUCUGUUCUUAUCGGUUUAAUAUCUGAUACAUCCUCCAUCCAAGGACAAUAUAUUAAAUAGAUUUUGGAGCAGAGAGAUGGAAUAGAAGCUUGUUCCAUCCACUCCAUGCAUCAACCUGGUAUUGCAGUACCUCCAGGAACAAUGCACCCCCU